rnacentral:piRNA from 1 species
UGCUUUGAGUAUUGAGAUGGAUAAAACGA